AUUAAUGCGUAAUACAACAAAGAAGUAAAAUAAGUUUGGUGGCAAAAAUGGAUAUACAAGAACUUUAGAAGAUGAAUGCAUAUACCCGUUACAUUUAAUCAAUUCGGGCACGAUGAAUUGGAAUUGGAACAAAAUCAUCAAGUUUCACGGGUAAAGCAUCGCGAGCAUGGGACGGAAUUAGUUUUUGGUUAAGGUCAGGACGAAUGGAUAGUUCGAAGGGGGAAAAAUUAAACAAUUCGGGUAAAUGACGAGGAGAAGCAUCGGGAUUACGAGAGUUAUGAAGCUUAGUAUUAGGAUCCCGAAGCUCAUCAAAAAAGGGAUGGCACAUUGCCUCAGCAGCAGUAAGGCGAUCAGUAGGUGUAUAUUGAAGCAUUUUUGAUAAGAGAUCCAAUGCAUCAAGGGGAACACUUCGAGAAAACACUCGUGAAAGAGGCUGUGGACGUAUUUGUGGGAAUCGAUGUUCCAUAUAAUUAGGAUUCAUAGUCUUUAUUUGUUCUCGACUAGGAGUACCGAGAAUUUUGAUAAUCUCUACCAACUGAUCAAUGCCACUUUCACCGGGAAAAAGAGGAUGUCCAAGCAUAAGCUCAGCCAUCACGCAUCCAGUAGACCAGAUGUCAAUAGCGUGAGUAUAAUCAGUAGCUCCAAAAAUCAAUUCUGGAGCUCGAUAAUAACGAGAACAUAUAUAAGAGACAUUUGGUUCACCAGCAACCAAGAUUUUUGCGCUACCAAAAUCACAAAGCUUUAAUAUUCCGUUUUCCGGAUCUAAUAGUAGAUUUUGAGGUUUGAUAUCACGAUGGCAAAUACCGCUAGCAUGAAUGUAGGCUAAAGAACGCAAAAGCUGAUAUAUAUACAAUUUGACUUCCAGCAUUGGCAUAGAAAGUUUUUGACGAGUAUAUAGACGAGAAGCACGAUAAAUCGUUUCAGGCAUAAACUCUAGAACCAAAUUUAGAUAGACUUCAUCGGAAUUAUCACCGGUGGUAUAAUAGUAGGCAAUUAAAUCGACAAUAUUUGGAUGCUUCAUA